AGGACGUUAGAGACGAUGACGUGGAUAGGCGGCAGGUGCAGGACGGGAGACCGUUACAGCCGAGCCGUACUAAUGACCUGAAGGCCGUAGCAGUAGACCUUGUUGGUCAGGGCUUGUGAUUGUGAAUCUCUUUCUUCUUAAAGAGCUAAAAAAGAAACUACCAUACGUUGUGGUCAUCCUUAGGGAUGUCCAACGCAAGAGCUGGGAUGGUGGUAAGGGUGCGGGGGAACACCUCUUCCCAUACCGAACAGAGCCGUUAAGCCCCGUUACGCCGAUGGUACUGGAGUCACUUCCGGGAGAGUAGGUUACCGCCACCA
rnacentral:rRNA from 1 species